rnacentral:snRNA from 1 species
GGAUGUGAGGGCAAUCUGGCUGCGACAUCUGUCAUCCUUUGAUCACCAGGGUUGAUUCGUCUGAUCUGGCUGGCUAAGUGGGUGUCCCCUUCCUCCCUCACCGCUCCAUACGUGUCCCUCCAGAAGCUGUGAGCUCUGUGGAAGAGGACGACCAACCCCUAUAGAGGAGGACCAUUCUUCAGUCAAGGGUAUACGAGUAGUCGCGCUCCCCUGCUAGAACCUCCAAACAAGCUCUCAAAACUAUUCUAGGAAUGGGGGAGGUGGAAAAAGGAGAAUGAUGGAAGAGGUGAAUUCAACUAUGAUAUAUUAUAAGAACUUUUGUAAAUGUCACAGUGUACCCUUA